UUUUUAUAUUUUAUUUUCCUUCGUUUUUUACUGUUCUUUCUUCUUUCUUUUUUUUUUUAGUGUGUGUGUGUGUGUGUUGAUGUGGUCGCAUAAACAACAGCUGAAAAGAAAAAAAAAGAAAGAAGAAAGAAAGAAAGAGAGAGAGAGAGAGAGAGAGGGA
rnacentral:miRNA from 1 species